GACUCUCGACAACGGAUAUCUUGGCUCUUGCCACGAUGAAGAACAUAGCGAAAUGUGAUACUUUGUGUGAAUUGCAUAAUCCUGUGAAUCAUCGAGUCUUUGAAUGCAAGUUGCACCUGAGGCCGUAGGCUGAGGGCACGCCUGUCUGAAUAUCA
rnacentral:rRNA from 1 species